UACGUAGGGGGCGAGCGUUGUCCGGAGUUACUGGGCGUAAAGCGCACGCAGGCGGUCUGUUAAGUUUGGAGUGACAGUUGGUGGCUUAACUGCCAAAGUUGCUUCGAAAACUGACAGACUUGGAGGGCUUCAGAGGGACACGGAAUUCCGGGUGGAGUGGUGAAAUGCGUAGAGAUCCGGAGGAACACCAAAGGCGAAGGCAGUGUCCUGGGGAGUACCUGACGCUCAGGUGCGGAAAGCCAGGGGAGGCGAACGGG
rnacentral:rRNA from 1 species